GAUGAACGCUGGCGGCGUGCCUAAUACAUGCAAGUCGAGCGAACAGAUAAGGAGCUUGCUCCUUUGACGUUAGCGGCGGACGGGUGAGUAACACGUGGGUAACCUACCUAUAAGACUGGGAUAACUUCGGGAAACCGGAGCUAAUACCGGAUAAUAUUUCGAACCGCAUGGUUCGAUAGUGAAAGAUGCUUUUGCUAUCACUUAUAGAUGGACCCGCUCCGUAUUAGCGAGUGGGUAAGGUAACGGCUUACCAAGGAGGAGAUACGUAGCCGACCUGAGAGGGUGAUCGGCCACAGUGAAAGUGAGACACGGUCCAGACUCCCACGGGGGGCAGCAGUGGGAAAUCUGCCGCAAUGGGCGAAAGCCUGACGGAGCAACGCCGCGUGAGUGAAGAAGGUCUUCGGAGCGUAACACUCUGUGAUGAGGGAAGAACAGGCGUGUAAGUAACUGUGCACGUCUUGACGGUACCUAAUCAGAAAGCAACGGCUAACUACGU
rnacentral:rRNA from 1 species